rnacentral:rRNA from 1 species
GUAGCGAAAUUCCUUGUCGGGUAAGUUCCGACCUGCACGAAUGGCGUAAUGAUGGCCAGGCUGUCUCCACCCGAGACUCAGUGAAAUUGAACUCGCUGUGAAGAUGCAGUGUACCCGCGGCAAGACGGAAAGACCCCGUGAACCUUUACUAUAGCUUGACACUGAACAUUGAGCCUUGAUGUGUAGGAUAGGUGGGAGGCUUUGAAGUGUGGACGCCAGUCUGCAUGGAGCCGGCCUUGAAAUACCACCCUUUAAUGUUUGAUGUUCUAACGUGGACCCGUAAUCCGGGUUGCGGACAGUGUCUGGUGGGUAGUUUGACUGGGGCGGUCUCCUCCUAAAGAGUAACGGAGGAGCACGAAGGUUGGCUAAUCCUGGUCGGACAUCAGGAGGUUAGUGCAAUGGCAUAAGCCAGCUUGACUGCGAGCGUGACGGCGCGAGCAGGUGCGAAAGCAGGUCAUAGUGAUCCGGUGGUUCUGAAUGGAAGGGCCAUCGCUCAACGGAUAAAAGGUACUCCGGGGAUAACAGGCUGAUACCGCCCAAGAGUUCAUAUCGACGGCGGUGUUUGGCACCUCGAUGUCGGCUCAUCACAUCCUGGGGCUGAAGUAGGUCCCAAGGGUAUGGCUGUUCGCCAUUUAAAGUGGUACGCGAGCUGGGUUUAGAACGUCGUGAGACAGUUCGGUCCCUAUCUGCCGUGGGCGCUGGAGAACUGAGGGGGGCUGCUCCUAGUACGAGAGGACCGGAGUGGACGCAUCACUGGUGUUCGGGUUGUCAUGCCAAUGGCACUGCCCGGUAGCUAAAUGCGGAAGAGAUAAGUGCUGAAAGCAUCUAAGCACGAAACUUGCCCCGA